UCGGUGAUGGAUGAGCCCGCGUUGGAUUAGCUAGUUGGUGGGGUAAAGGCCUACCAAGGCGACGAUCCAUAGCUGGUCUGAGAGGAUGAUCAGCCACAUUGGGACUGAGACACGGCCCAAACUCCUACGGGAGGCAGCAGUGGGGAAUAUUGGACAAUGGGCGCAAGCCUGAUCCAGCCAUGCCGCGUGUGUGAUGAAGGCCUUAGGGUUGUAAAGCACUUUCACCGGAGAAGAUAAUGACGGUAUCCGGAGAAGAAGCCCCGGCUAACUUCGUGCCAGCAGCCGCGGUAAUACGAAGGGGGCUAGCGUUGUUCGGAAUUACUGGGCGUAAAGCGCACGUAGGCGGAUCGAUCAGUCAGGGGUGAAAUCCCGCAGCUCAACUGCGGAACUGCCUUUGAUACUGUCGGUCUAGAGUAUGGAAGAGGUGAGUGGAAUUCCGAGUGUAGAGGUGAAAUUCGUAGAUAUUCGGAGGAACACCAGUGGCGAAGGCGGCUCACUGGUCCAUUACUGACGCUGAGGUGCGAAAGCGUGGGGAGCA
rnacentral:rRNA from 1 species